rnacentral:lncRNA from 1 species
GCAUCACCAUCACGGAAGUGGACGGCUGCAUUCGCGCGCAGCACACCCCCCGCCGGCAAUUGAAACCCGCCCCAGCGCAACAAAUUGUCGUCAGACCGGCGAAGAAAUUGAAGCUGAGCAGACUCCCUAGCGGCCGAAUGGCACCCAGUCGACUCCCCAGCAGAGUACCUUCCGGGAGAGCACAGCCGCCGAAGAAACUGGGGCUCUUUCGUUGGGGUUUGAUGUGCCAGUAGGGUCUGAUCUGUCGGGAAGGAUUUUGUCCAUUCUGUGCCGCACCUGGAAGCGUCGGGCUCUUGGCUUGUGUUAAACCUUCGAUUUACAAUACGGAAAUGGAAACUGGUUUGGCUACUGCGCAUUCCUUCAGCUCUUGGUUGAAUUACCUUGUAAGUAAGAUUUCUAGCCGAAGCGAUGCAGCUACAGUACUUUUCACAAAAAAAAAUCUCUCUUUUCUUUCUUUUUUUUGUUUGAUCCUAAGUCGAGUUCAGGAGGUUCCUGGAGCUUUGUCUGUGGAAUUCCAACGAGUUUUAGUGUCUCCAUUCAUUGUUAACGAUUUGUGCAUAUUGACUCGAGCGAUCAGAAUUCAGAUGCUACUACUGUGCAAACUGAUAUACAAUUUGUUUGUAUUCCAUUCAACCUUUGUUAUAAAACCGUCCCAGCAUUUGUCGGUAUUGUGAGCCUUCGGCAGUGCGAGAUUCAUGACGUUGAGCAGCUCUGAAUCAUCGAGCUGCCAUGGCAGACACCCAUUUUGCUUUGUCUAUCUACCUGACUACGAUGCAAUUGAAUCAUGGAUUUGCUAACUCCACACCUCCAAUGGUUUUCUUUUGCUAUUGGUAUGUUUAUUUCUGUUUACAAUUGCUAUUGUUUGUUGAGUCAUUUUAAUGAAGAAGGAUUUGCUCCAUGAAAUGUUGGACAAUCUACAACACGAUGAUUGUUCAAGCCUGUCAUCUGACUCUGGAAAGUAUCUCUAAUUAGCUGCAAGGCUCAAUUAUCAGUAUAAGCAUGAGCUGUUUACAACAUCAUGCUCAUACUGAAUACAUACUUGCUUGAAACAACUCUGCCUGAGAAUUCGGACAUGUGGUGCCUUCAUAUCAAAAUGACAUUAAAAUUAUAUCAUAUUCAGGAUCUUCUUUUUUAGGAAAAUAAGAACCGAUAAACAACUUUAUCUCAGAUGAUUGUAGAAUGAGUAUCCAAAAAGAGUGGCAUUGCAUUAUUACAGUGGCUGACUUUUUUUCAAGCAGCCUUUUUGAGUUUGUCGAAGCCACUUUGUAUUGCAAGGAGGUCUCAGGUAUCGGUAUCGAAGGCACUUUGACGAAGGCGCUGUGUCGGUAUCGGCUGCUUUGUCGGGGUCUACACAACCUCCCAAAAUGGUUGGAAAUCUGAAAGCCUGACAAUCUUGAAGACGAGUCGGUCGAAACCUCGGAGGCCCGCGCUUAAACCCCUUUGGGAAAUGACGACUACCUCUCAUGACCUGGCCAUUCUGGACAUCAGAGUUAAAAUUUUGUAACAAAACAUUCCCUUGUUAUCAUGCACAAUGUAGACAGUAAACCUAGUCAUAGUUAGUUUACUCUAAUACCUCUGCAAACUUCUGAUAGCAUUUGUACACAUAAAAUCAUCAUUUUUUUACUUUUGAUGAAUAAAGACACACAUAAACGGUCGCAAAUUUUGUACAUGUGUGAGUACUUUCAAAUUGUGUAUUAGCUGCCUAAACCAUUGUCACAAUUAUCCAUUUGUAAUCAUGUGUAUGCUACUUCAGUAGUUGUGAAACAAUUGGGUGGUUGUGACCAUAUACAUAUAUACAUACAUAUAUACUCAAAUAGCUUUUGUUUGGGCAAUAGAUUAUUUACAGUUAAAGAUAUUUUUUACAUAAAGAUUUCUAUGAUUUUGACGAUUUAGAUUUUAUUUUUAAA